CUCCACAGGGGAGGAGCAAGCGUGAUCCCAGGACAAAUGUUUGCGCUGAAGAUGUCAGUCAACCGUGGCGUGCAAAAAGCAGCGGAAUACCUGCGCUAGUGUCUCUGUUGGUACCUCUGUCUGUCUGUCUGUCUGUUGGGUUACUUCUCAGUCCCCAGAGAUUGCACUCUUUUUCCAGGCAGCCGCCAUGCUGUUUACAGAAAAGGCUUUGUCUGUAUGGGAGCCAACGUCCACAGCAGCUGACAGAGCCCUCUGAAGCCCCUUGCAAAAGUGAGGGGAGAGAGAGAGAGAGAGAGAGAGAGUCUAGUGGGGAGCCCGUCACACCAGCCUAGCCUCCUAAAAUUAAAACCUAGCUCACAGACCACCAAUACCUGGCACUGGAUGUUCCCUGAGCGUGGUGGCAGCGGACCCAUACGCAUGCUCUCUGGUAUGUGUGUACUGCCCAGCUGGUGCCAAGGUCAUCGCUGAGGUGUGCCCACUGCAGUAUGCGCCCGCGCCGCCUUUGCGCAGUGAGCACAAUGGCGGGCACUGCCCCUGUGCCCCUGUGGAGAUGGGGAUGGGGGAGGAUGGGGCAGCUAAGCCCAAUGUGCCCCUGCAUUUAGCCGCCGAACAACAAAGUGCCUUGGCCAUCACUUGGGUGCUGACAUGAUUUAGUUUGAGCAGUAGGAAGCCAGUAGCCCCCUGCCAUAAGGAUGCACUGAGGACCCAGGAACCGCUGCUUACUUAUGCCUGCCUAUGAUGCUUUUUUGAAGCGUCAUCAAAGGUACAGUUCUUGAUAAGAAAAAAUAAACUUUUUUUGUCAAA